CAUACCACUGGGACGGCAGAAAGUCUACGUGGUCUCCUUUCUCCACCUCCCUCCUUCACCUGACAAGCUGACGACAGGCAAGAUGCGGGACUCAGGAGAGGGCCCGAACAAUGUUUACUUGGUCGUGUUUUCACAAAAUUUGCAGAAAAAAUUUUAACCGCCAUUAAGAUCUCUUUCCACAUGAACUCCCCUUCAUGUAAGGUGAUGCUAGCGACUGCAAGCUAACUGAAAGGCUAGAAGAUGAGCACCACAGCAAGCACCUUUGGACCCAGAAACGGAAGCUACCUUUUGAGUAUGGCAGAACUGCUUACUUCUGGACUGCUAUCUGAAAGAAAAAAUUAUGAAAGAAAUGCCUUAGUGACAUGAAGUCCAACUACGUUCUUCUGAGUCUUACCUGCAUGGCUGCAAGAACCUCUGGAUCACUAAGAAUUUCAUUGAGCCCAGGCAUCCCUGCCAUUCCAGGCAUGCCCCCUC